GUGGAUCCCUGCCCUUGUAGAGCCCACACAUGCCAGGGGAGACCUAAAGGCAACAGACAAAUGGACAACAUCACAUCCGGUAACGAGGAGGAAAACAGAAGCUCAGAGGAACAGAGAAGCUUCCUCCAUAUCAAACAGCAAGAAGAGAACUGAGGUCAAGAUUCUUCAAGUGGCUUAGCUAAGUGGUUCUGGCCAAGGGUCUGUCAUGAGAUGGUAGUCAAGAUGAUGACAGGAAUUGCAGUUAUUGAAGG